GGGAGGUUCCGAACUUUACCGCCGGACCCGUAGAGGGGAGGUUCCGAAGUUUACCGUCGGACCCGUAGAGGGGAGGUUCCGAAGUUUACCGUCGGACCCGUAGAGGGGAGGUUCCGAAGUUUACCGUCGGACCCGUAGAGAGGAGGUUCCGAAGUUUACCGUCGGACCCGUAGAGGGGAGGUUCCGAAGUUUACCGUCGGACCCGUAGAGGGGAGGUUCCGAAGUUUACCGUCGGAACUGUAGAGGGGAGGUUCCGAAGUUUACCGUCGGACCCGUAGAGGGGAGGUUCCGAAGUUUACCGUCGGACCCGUAGAGGGGAGGUUCCGAAGUUUACCAUCGGAACUGUAGAGGGGAGGUUCCGAAGUUUACCGUCGGAACUGUAGAGGGGAGGUUCCGAAGUUUACCGUCGGACCCGUAGAGGGGAGGUUCCGAAGUUUACCGUCGGACCCGUAGAGGGGAGGUUCCGAAGUUUACCGUCGGACCCGUAGAGGGGAGGUUCCGAAGUUUACCGUCGAACCCGUAGAGGGGAGGUUCCGAAGUUUACCGUCGGACCCUUAGAGGGGAGGUUCCGAAGUUUACCGUCGGACCCAUACACGGGAGGUUCCCAAGUUUCGGACCCAUAGAGGGGAGGUUCUGAAGUCAACCGUCGGACCCGUAGAGGGGAGGUUCCGAAGUUUACCGUCGGACCCGUAGAGGGGAGGUUCCGAAGUUUCGAACCCAUUGACCGUCACAGACUGUGCCUUUGCUGAUGGUGCUGAUAAAGUUCUGGUCUACAUGAACCUGUGCGGAUCCGUGGCCCUGCUGUAUGCUGUGUUCAUGUGUCGUAAUAUUUGUGUAAUGCCAAGUAAAUAAAAUAUGCAGAGCUUGAACGGACCGGACCAAAAGGCCCGUGAGCGAUCAUGGAAACUCUGGAGCACAACUGGAAACCAAACGCCUCUGUCAGUACCGGCUGUGUCCGCGUGGAUGUGAUGUAGCAUUAUUUAUUUCACAGCUGCAGCGCCCCCUGGUGUUAUUUCUUCUUUUGUUUUUUGUUUUUAUUAACAGCAAUAAUGGGUCAGAAUAGCGUGCGGUGGUUCUGUGGGGCUCUUACAUGAAGGAAUGAAUCCAAACCCGUUUCUCAUGUUUGAUACUGUAACCUGGAUGUCAGGACGGCUCCUUUUACCUCCUGCUCUUAUCUGGAGCCUUUUUAGUUGCCCUAUUUAAUUUUUGGAAUAAAGAUAUUCAACAGGUUCA